rnacentral:rRNA from 1 species
GAUGAACGCUAGCGGCAGGCCUAAUACAUGCAAGUCGAACGGUGUCUUCGGACAUAGUGGCGCACGGGUGCGUAACACGUAUGCAACCUACCUUACAUUGGGGGAUAGCCUUUCGAAAGGGAGAUUAAUACCGCAUAAGACAGUAGCUGGGCAUCCAGCAGCUGUUAAAGAUUUAUCGAUGUAAGCUGGGCAUGCGUCCAAUUAGCUAGUUGGUGAGGUAACGGCUCACCAAGGCAAUGAUUGGUAGGGGAACUGAGAGGUCAAUCCCCCACACUGGCACUGAGGUACGGGCCAGACUCCUACGAGAGGCAGCAGUAGGGAAUAUUGGGCAAUGGACGAAAGUCUGACCCAGCCAUGCCGCGUGCAGGAUGAAGGCGUUAUGCGUUGUAAACUGCUUUUAUACAGGAAGAAACGACUCUUGCGAGAGGCAUUGACGGUACUGUAUGAAUAAGCACCGGCUAACUCCGUGCCAGCAGCCGCGGUAACAC